UACGAAGGGGGCUAGCGUUGCUCGGAAUGACUGGGCGUAAAGGGCGCGUAGGCGGCUUAGAAAGUCGGAUGUGAAAUUCCGGGGCUCAACCCCGGAGCUGCAUUUGAAACUCCUGAGCUAGAGUUCAGUUAGGGUAAACGGAAUUCCACGUGUAGCGGUGAAAUGCGUAGAUAUGUGGAAGAACACCGGUGGUGAAGACGGUUUACUGGGCUGAGACUGACGCUGAGGCGCGAAAGCAUGGGGAGCAAACAGG
rnacentral:rRNA from 1 species